CGGGGAUUACCCCUGUGGGGGCCGCAGAGAACGCAUUAAGGCGUCAGACGGGGAAGUACGCUCGAAAGAGUGAAACUCAAAGGAAUUGACGGGGACCCGCACAAGUAGCGGAGCAUGUGGUUUAAUUCGAAGCAACGCGAAGAACCUUACCUAAGCUGGACAUCCCAAUGACAUCUCCUUAAUCGGAGAGUUCCCUUCGGGGACAUUGGUGACAGGUGGUGCAUGGUUGUCGUCAGCUCGUGUCGUGAGAUGUUGGGUUAAGUCCCGCAACGAGCGCAACCCUUG
rnacentral:rRNA from 1 species